GGCUUGAACUGAUCCUGGCUAAUCCCUCUUUCUCAGCCUAAUCUGUGUGUGUGUGUGUGGGUAUAUACCUUCAAGUCAGUGUCGACUCCUGGCGACUGCCUGGACUAGUCCCUAGGCAUAUUUUCCUAGAAAACAUGUUUUACCAUUGUCUCCAAGGUCACCCAGCUGGCAUUGUGCCUAAGGUGGGACUAGAACUCACAGUUGCUUGGUUUCUAGCUUGGUGCCUUAACAACUACACCACACUGGCUCUCAGCAUAAUCUGUUUUAUAGUUAUUGUGAUAAUAAAAAUGCAAGUACGGAAAAUCUAUAUAUAGUAUGUUGUACUGAACUCCUUAGAGAAUAAGGCAAAUGAAACUUCCCUUCAAGUGACUUCAUGGGCAUGCCUAUGUAGUUUUCUUGGCAGGAAUACAGAAAUGAUUUGCCAUAGGAAGCUUUUCAAUUUCCCAGGGUAGCCUCCAGCCCUAAUAUUCCCUAGAGGUCUCCCAUCUGAAUGUUAAUGAGGUCUGUCUGCUUAGCGAGUGGCCACACCUGUUCAGAGGUACCAUGUCAGAUCCUACUGAUGCCUCCUAAACUCAACUGAGUAUUUUCCUGGGAUUGCACAGCUACCAUACUGCUUCUUUAUGGAGGUCCCUCUGCCUUUUCAGAAGCCCUUCUGGGGCUCCAAAGUGCUGCAUAUCCCUAAUAAAUUGCUAUACAAAGAGCACCAGUAAUCUCUUAAUAAAACAAAAGAAAACUCCAUCACUGUUCUUGUUAAUAGGGAAAUUAUAUCUUAAUCACAAUGGCAAGGGGGAUCCAUAGUUGUUUUUACUACAGGUCCAUUAUUUUAAUUCUGGGGUUACCCUGAAUCUCCAUCCAGAUCAUGUGGAACAUUCCUAAAAAUGGUAGACAUUGUGAUGGGCACACAGCCAAAAGGGAGAGUGCUAGCCAAGUCAGUCUCAUGACUCCUCUCUUUUCUCAUAUGUAAGACUGCUCCCCUUAAAGCUACACUGCAGAAUUUUCUUCUUGUCCAGGACCGCUCUUCUUCGUUGUAAUUUGCAGGGGCAAUGUGUCAAAGCCAUAAUAGAUGAGAGCUGGUGAGGGUGAAGCAAAUCAGAGAGAUGGAAUCUCUAUUUCAAUAAAGGUGAGAAUAGGCUCUAGAAAAGUAAUUUUACAUAAAUCUUUCCUGCCUAUCUUCCUAAAUCUGAAAUAGAACUGUGGGGAAUUUGCAAUUGCAGUAGGAAUGGAGAAAACAAUCCUAGGUUCUUAGCUGAUGUGCCUGGCCUGUCUUGUGCAAGGGAUAUUUGGAUUGGAAAACAAGGAGCUUGAGACCACACAAACAUCUUAAUGAAGGUUUUGUUCAAAGCAGAAUUGUACCUGUAUGGCCAAUGCAACUGCCUCCCUGCAACCCCAAAAUAUGCCCUGAGAAAAUCCUACAGCAUGAUGUAGCAUCAUGCCUAAUACCCUUCUACUUAAAAAAGGGGCAAGGUUUUCUAUUUUGAUUUAAAGGGGGAAAAAAUAGCCAACUUGUUUUUGAAAGUAAGUGCUAAAUUUUUGCUCCUUAGAAGCCAAAUAUUUUCCCCAUAUUUCUCAGGAAUAAAUGGGUCCCUAAGAUGCUGGUGGUGACAGAAUGGGGAUAUUUGCACAUUUAAUAAUAAUAAUAAAAAUGUAUGCAUGGCAUCAUCAUCAAUAGCUAUGAUUCAAAGAAAUAAGGAAUUUUAUAGCACCAUUUGUAAAGGUCACAGAAAUUGUUCCUAAAGGAGCAGAUUUUUUAAAAAGGCUAUUAUAGAUGCAAAGCCUUGCCUUCAAAGGACCACAUUUGUCCUAAUAAAGGAGGAUGAUUAAGUACCCAACAAAUCUUCCUGAAUUAGAGGACACUUACUCCAUUUGCUUAUCUUUAGUAUGCAUAGCUGCACAAACCAGCUCUCAGACAAACAACUAUUGGGAGGCCCAAUAGUUAUGAAUCUUGCAUUUAUAAUUCUGACUCUUGCUAUGAAUCAGCUAUGAAUCUUGCUUUUCACUUUUGGAUUUAAAUUCUAUUUAGGCUGUGAACUCUUUGGGGAGUGAACCGGUUUUGUAGCUAUAUUUUCAUUUUUAGACAAAAAAUUACAGAGUAACAGAGAAGAGGACUAGAUGAUAAGGAUGUGCAGUGCUUCAGGUUUGAUUCCAAAAAGGUGCUUUGGAGUGCACAAAAGUGUGAACUUCAGUGCCUACCUGCCAUCCUUUAAAGCAGUCACACUUUUUCUUAAGAUCAUGGGGCAGCUGCAGGGGGUAUGUAGCUGCUUUGAAGACUCGGUGGCAGAUGCAAAGUACCUUUUUCGACUUCUUUUCAAAGACUUGAAAAGCCAGUGGCUGCAGGAACUGUAAAUUUACUGAUUUGCUGUUUGCUUAUUUGCCUCCAUCUUCAGUGUUCUCCGUCAUCCAACAACUAGAUCUGGUGGUGUGAUUCUGCCACAGACUCACAAUAAGGUUACCUAAGUUCCUUGCUGAGAGCACUGUGAAUUGUGAAUGACUGGCAAAACAUCUGGAUAGGGAUAGGAAGGAAACCACUGCAGAAAGGUGAUCCAGAUUCAGUGUAGGCAAAUUUCAUAAUUAGCUUUGGGCCUGGGUGAUGUGGGCUGGAUUGGUCAACCCCGUCUUUGAGUUUUCCAUACUUCUUCACCCAACUCCAAAACCUCUUUACUGGUGCCUAAAAAAACUUAAUUCAAAACCAAGUAUAUGUAAUUUAUAUGUGUUUUCCCAUUUCAUAUAGAAUUAAAUACUAAUCUAUUUUACCAGUAAAUGUCUAUAGAUUUCUGGAUUUACAAAAUAAAGAUGAAUGUUUUAUACUA